rnacentral:rRNA from 1 species
UACGAAGGGGGCGAGCGUUGUUCGGAUUUACUGGGCGUAAAGGGCGCGUAGGCGGCCUUGUCAGUCAGGCGUGAAAGCCCCGGGCUCAACCUGGGAACGGCGCUUGGGACGGCGAGGCUGGAGUUCGGGAGAGGAGAGUGGAAUUCCCAGUGUAGAGGUGAAAUUCGUAGAUAUUGGGAAGAACACCGGUGGCGAAGGCGGCUCUCUGGACCGAGACUGACGCUGAGGCGCGAAAGCGUGGGGAGCAAACAGG